UACGUAGGUGGCAAGCGUUGUCCGGAAUUAUUGGGCGUAAAGCGCUCGCAGGCGGCUCGAUGCGUCGUGCGUGAAACACCCCGGCUCAACUGGGGAGGGUCGUGCGAUACGGUCGGGCUGGAGGCCAGUAGGGGGAUGCGGAAUUCCGGGUGUAGUGGUGGAAUGCGUAGAGAUCCGGAGGAACACCAGCGGCGAAGGCGGCAUCCUGGACUGGUCCUGACGCUCAGGAGCGAAAGCGUGGGGAGCGAUCCGG
rnacentral:rRNA from 1 species